AUGAUCGCCGCCGCCAUGGACGACCGCCUCCACGCCCUGGGCCGUGGCGAGCGCCGCACCGCCGUCGCCAGGCUGUACAGCGAGGAGAUGCUCGGCCUGGCGCACGACGCCCAGGACUGCAUCGACCGCAUCGUCCACCGCCUCACCUGCAGGCCCCGCGUUGGCGGCGGCGGAGGCGGGGGAGGAGCGGCGCUGAUCCGCCGGGUCGCCGCCGUCGCCCACGAGCUGAGGAAGGUACAGAGCCGCUCGGGCUUCGCCGACGAGAUGCGCAAGCUCAAGGCCCGCCUCAAGCAGGCUCAUGAGCGCGUCGUCAGCAUCCCCAUCGCCGCCGCCGCCGCCAGCUGCUGCCACGAGCGCCCGGCGGUAGCCCCGACUUGUCGCGUCGCGCGCAACCCGGUGGGCAUCGGGAGGCCGGUGGAGGAGCUCCUCUCGCUGCUGGACGAGGUGGAGGGGGAGCCGGAGCAGCUGAGGGUGAUCUCCGUAGUGGGGUUCGGCGGCUUGGGGAAAACCACGCUCGCCAGGGAGGUGUACAAGGCCCGUCACGCCGUGGAGAAAUUCCACUGCCGUGCUUGGGUUUCCGCCGGUCGGUGGUCGCCAGAGGUCACCGGCAACGGGGUCAGUGAGAUCCUGCGCGAUGUACUCCAGCAAGUUCGCCCCAAAGACGCCAUGGAUGUUGUUGUUGCUGAUGAUGGCCAACGUAUUGAAGCCUUGCUCAAGGAAUACCUCACGGAUAAGAGGUAUUUAAUUGUCAUAGAUGACAUUGGGAUGGAGCAAUGGAGCACUAUAAAUUCCAUUUUUGAAAACAAUGGCAAAAGCAGCAGAAUCCUACUGACCACAACUAUUCAGUCAACAGCUAAUAUCUGCAGCCAUGGCAAUGGUUAUGUGUACCAAAUGAACACACUUGGUGAAGAGGACUCCAAGAAAAUAGCUCUUCAGGAGGUACCGUCGCCUGAGCUGGAGCAGGGGUCCAUGACGCUGCUGCAGAAAUGUGGUGGUCUUCCACUUGCUCUCGUCAGUGUCUCCGAUUUCCUGAAAUGCUCAGGUGAGCCUACAGGGGAGCGAUGCGCAGAGCUAUGCCGUAACCUGGGUUCUCAUCUGAGAGAGAAGCAUGGCCAUGACAAUUUCACGGAACUAAGAAAGGUGCUGAUGCAUAACUAUGACAGUUUGUCUGUGUAUGCUAUGACCUGCUUGCUAUAUCUUGGUGUAUUCCCAAACAACCGUCCCCUCAAGAGGAAAGUUGUUAUCAGGAGGUGGUUAGCCGAAGGAUAUGCACGGAGUGAUUCUCUUCGCAGUGAGGAGGACAUUGCGGAUGAGACUUUCAAGGCGCUUGUUGACCGGAAUAUCAUACAGUCCAUUGAUACAAGGAAUAAUGCGCAAGUGAAGACGUGCAUGACUCAUGGCAUCAUGCACGAGUUUGUGCUGCACAAGUCUGUGUCACAGGGGUUCAUCGCGACAUCGUCUCGUGAUCAUCCAAGACCUCAUGCCCAUGUUAAUAAUGCCUGCCACCUUUCUAUCCAUGGUGGCAAUGUGACAGAUAAUGAGGCCUCUGACAAGGAUUUGUCUCGUGUUCGGUCUCUGACAGUCUUUGGAAAAGCAGGUGAUGCUAUUUCUUAUGUCCGUAAGUGCAAACUGCUACGAGUCUUGGAUCUGGAAGAAUGCAAUGACCUGGAAGACAGUCACCUCAAACACAUAGGCAAGCUAUGGCAUCUGAAAUAUCUAAGUGUUGGGGGCACGAUUGCGAAGCUUCCGAGCAGUAUUGAUGGACUGCAUAGCUUGGAGACCCUAGAUUUGAGGAGAACCAAGAUAAAGACUUUGCCCAUUGAGGCCAUUAUGCUGUACCACUUAGCCCAUCUGUUCGGAAAGUUUACAGUUGACAAAGAAGAUCUAAACAAUGCAAACAAAAUGAGCAAAGCAAUGAAGUUCUUGUCCGGAAACAAGAGCAACCUGAAGACUUUAGCUGGAUUUGCCACAAACGAGAGGCAAGGGUUUCUUCAACUUAUGGUUCACAUGAGAAAUCUGAGAAAGGUCAAGAUAUGGUGUGGGCCAGUUGCAAAUGGAAGUAACUACACCAAUGAUCUUUCCAAGGCCAUUCAGGAAUUCACCAAGGUCCCCAUGGACAAUGUGGGUGCCCGUUCUCUAUCACUUGAUUCAGAAGAAUGUUCCGAAGACUUGCUGAGUUCGCUUGCUUUUGAGCCAUGCCCCGAAGAUUCCAAAUAUGAUGUAAGGUCACUGAAGCUACGUGGCAAGCUAUUCCAGUUACCCCCAUUUGUUCCCUUGCUGUCAGGUCUCACUGAACUGUGUAUUUCAUCAGCUACUCUGACACGGGAUCUUCUAUUGUCUCUGAUCAAUUUGAGAAACUUGCUUUACCUCAAGUUGAUUGCGAAUGAGCUUGAGAAAUUUGAAAUGAAAUCAGGGGCAUUCCCAAGCCUGCGGCGUCUGUGCUUUGUGGUGCAAAGUCUCACUUCAGCUCUGCCAGCAAUCGAACAUGGAGCUCUGCCAAACCUUGUCUCACUCCAGCUGCUUUGCCUGGGUCUAGCUGGUUUUUCCAGCAUCCAAAUCAGACACCUCAGACAUCUCAAGGAGGUCACGGUCGACUCUGGAGUGCCUGACCAAACAAGACAAGACUGGGAGCACGCAACAAAGAACCACCCGAAUAGGCCGAGACUCGUGUUGCACAAAAGUGGUGUUCGAAUGGAAAGCGAGGGACCGGGUAAUGAAGAAGCUUCUGCUGUGAGGGAGAAGCGGAAAAUAUGUGUACUCCAACCGAGUUUGGAUGACGGACUGGAUUCUAGUCUCAAGAAGAUGAAACUUUCAUCAGAGUCUUCUUCGCGUCUUCAAGUGAUCGUCCAUUCCACUUCCUCAUCUGGUCACUGA
rnacentral:rRNA from 1 species